rnacentral:ncRNA from 1 species
GGGCGCACGGUGGAUGCCUUGGCACUAGGAGCCGAUGAAGGACGGGACUAACACCGAUAUGCUUCGGGGAGCUGUAAGUAAGCUUUGAUCCGGAGAUUUCCGAAUGGGGAAACCCACUGUUCGUAAUGGAACAGUAUCUUUACCUGAAUACAUAGGGUACUGAAGGCAGACCCGGGGAACUGAAACAUCUAAGUACCCGGAGGAAGAGAAAGCAAACGCGAUUUCCUGAGUAGCGGCGAGCGAAACGGAAGAUAGCCCAAACCAAGAGGCUUGCCUCUUGGGGUUGUAGGACACUCAACAUGGAGUUACAAAGGAACGGGGUAAGUGAAGUGAUCUGGAAAGAUCCGUCAAAGAAGGUAAAAACCCUGUAGCUGAAACUUCGUUCCCUCCUGAGUGGAUCCUGAGUACGGCGGGACACGAGAAAUCCCGUCGGAAGCAGGGAGGACCAUCUCCCAAGGCUAAAUACUACCUAGUGACCGAUAGUGAACCAGUACCGUGAGGGAAAGGUGAAAAGCACCCCGGAAGGGGAGUGAAAUAGAUCCUGAAACCGUGUGCCUACAAGUAGUUAGAGCCCGUUAAUGGGUGAUAGCGUGCCUUUUGUAGAAUGAACCGGCGAGUUACGAUUUCAUGCAAGGUUAAGUUGAUAAGACGGAGCCGCAGCGAAAGCGAGUCUGAAUAGGGCGAAUGAGUAUGAGGUCGUAGACCCGAAACCAGGUGAUCUACCCAUGUCCAGGGUGAAGUUCAGGUAACACUGAAUGGAGGCCCGAACCCACGUACGUUGAAAAGUGCGGGGAUGAGGUGUGGGUAGCGGAGAAAUUCCAAUCGAACCUGGAGAUAGCUGGUUCUCUCCGAAAUAGCUUUAGGGCUAGCCUCGAGAUGAGAGUAUUGGAGGUAGAGCACUGAUUGGACUAGGGGCCCCCAACGGGUUACCGAAUUCAGUCAAACUCCGAAUGCCAAAUACUUAUUCUCGGGAGUCAGACUGCGAGUGAUAAGAUCCGUAGUCAAGAGGGAAACAGCCCAGACCACCAGCUAAGGUCCCCAAGUUUACGUUAAGUGGAAAAGGAUGUGGAGUUGCUUAGACAACCAGGAUGUUGGCUCAGAAGCAGCCAUCAUUUAAAGAGUGCGUAAUAGCUCACUGGUCGAGUGACUCUGCGCCGAAAAUGUACCGGGGCUAAACGUAACACCGAAGCUGUGGAUGGAUACCGUAUGGUAUCCGUGGUAGGAGAGCGUUCUAAGGGCGUUGAAGCUAGACCGGAAGGACUGGUGGAGCGCUUAGAAGUGAGAAUGCCGGUAUGAGUAGCGAAAGAAGGGUGAGAAUCCCUUC